GCAAGUCGAGGGGCAGCACAAGGAGCAAUCUGAGGUGGCGACCGGCGCACGGGUGAGUAACACGUAUGCAACCUGCCUGUAAGCGGGGAAUAACCCGUUGAAAGACGGACUAAUACCGCAUAAUACUAAAUUACUGCAUGGUAAUUUAUUUAAACAUUUAUGGCUUACAGAUGGGCAUGCGCAUGAUUAGCUAGUUGGAGAGGUAACGGCUCCCCAAGGCAACGAUCAUUAGGGGUUCUGAGAGGAAGGUCCCCCCACACUGGUACUGAGACACGGACCAGACUCCUACGGGAGGCAGCAGUGAGGAAUAUUGGUCAAUGGACGAGAGUCUGAACCAGCCAAGUCGCGUGCAGGAAGAAUUGUCCUAUGGAUUGUAAACUGCUUUUGCAGGGGAAUAAAGUGCAUCACGUGUGAUGUUUUGUAUGUACUCUGCGAAUAAGGAUCGGCUAACUCCGUGCCAGCCGCCGC
rnacentral:rRNA from 1 species